rnacentral:misc_RNA from 1 species
GAUGAAGAACGCAGCGAAAUGCGAUAAGUAAUGUGAAUUGCAGAAUUCAGUGAAUCAUCGAAUCUUUGAACGCACAUUGAGCCCCUUGGUAUUCCGGGGGGCAUGCCUGUUCGAGCGUCAUUAUAACCCUCAAGCCUAGCUUGGUGUUGGAGCAUGCUACCUAAGCAGCUCUUAAAAUCAGUGGCAGUGCCCUUCGGCUCUAAGCGUAGUAACUUCUCUCGCUAUGGAACCCGGAGGGUACGCGCCAGAACCCCCGACUUUCUAUGGUUGACCUCGGAUCAGGUAGGGAUACCCGCUGAACUUAAGCAUAUCAAUAAGCGGAGGA